UACGUAGGGUGCGAGCGUUGUCCGGAAUUAUUGGGCGUAAAGGGCUCGUAGGCGGUUUGUCGCGUCGGGAGUGAAAUCCACUGGCUUAACUGGUGGCUUGCUUUCGAUACGGGCAGACUGGAGGUAUGCAGGGGAGAACGGAAUUCCUGGUGUAGCGGUGAAAUGCGCAGAUAUCAGGAGGAACACCGGUGGCGAAGGCGGUUCUCUGGGCAUGUCCUGACGCUGAGGAGCGAAAGCAUGGGGAGCGAACAGG
rnacentral:rRNA from 1 species